rnacentral:rRNA from 1 species
GAUGAACGCUUGCGGCAGGCAUAAUACAUGCAAGUCGAACGGUAACAGGGUCUUCGGACUGCUGACGAGUGGCGGAUGGGUGAGUAACGCGUAUGCAACCUACCUCACACCGAGAACAAGUCGACUGAAAAGUUGAAUAAAGUCUCGUGAUGUGCAUCCCCCGCAUGAGGGGUGUAUGAUAGAAGUAAUUUGGUGUGAGAUGGGCAUGCGUAUCAUUAGCUAGUUGGCGGGGUAAUAGCCCACCAAGGUGACGAUGAUUUGGGGGCCUGAGAGGGUGGUCCCCCACACUGGGACUGAGACACGGCCCAGACUCCUACGGGAGGCAGCAGUAGGGAAUAUCGGUCAAUGGGCGGAAGCCUGAACCAGCCAUGCCGCGUGAUGGACGACGGCCUUAGGGUUGUAAACAUCUUUUCUACUAGAGGAAUAGAGUGCACGUGUAAACAGACGACUGUAUAGUAGGAAUAAGGAUCGGCUAACUCCGUGCCAGCAGCCGCGGUAAUACGGAGGAUUCGAGCGUUAUCCGGAUUUACUGGGUUUGAAGGGUGCGCACGGCGGGCUCUUAAGUCAGCGGUGAAAUGUCCGGGCUUACCCUGGGCCUUGCCGUUGAUACUGGGAGUCUUGGAUAAGCAUAAGGACGGCGGAAUGCGUAGUGUAGCGGUGAAAUGCUUAGAUAUUACGUAGAAGACCGAUUGCGAAGGCAGCUGUCUGGGUCUUAAUCGACGCUCAAGCACGAAAGCGUGGGUAGCGAACAGGAUUAGAUACCCUGGUAGUCCACGCCGUAAACGAUGAUCACUCGCUCUUGGCGAUACGCUGUCAGGGGCUAAGCGAAAGCGUUAAGUGAUCCACCUGGGGAGUACGACCGCAAGGUUGAAACUCAAAGGAAUUGACGGGGGCCCGCACAAGCGGAGGAACAUGUGGUUUAAUUCGAUGAUACGCGAGGAACCUUACCUGGGC